CACGUAGGGGGCGAGCGUUGUCCGGAAUAAUUGGGCGUAAAGGGCGCGUAGGCGGCUCGGUAAGUCUGGAGUGAAAGUCCUGUUUUCAAGAUGGGAAUUGCUUUGGAUACUGUCGAGCUUGAGUGCAGGAGAGGUAAGUGGAAUUCCCAGUGUAGCGGUGAAAUGCGUAGAGAUUGGGAGGAACACCAGUGGCGAAGGCGACUUACUGGACUGUAACUGACGCUGAGGCGCGAAAGUGUGGGGAGCAACA
rnacentral:rRNA from 1 species